CGUGGGUAACCUGCCUUAUAGUGGGGGAGUAGCCUUUCGAAAGGAAGAUUAAUACCGCAUAAGAUUGUAGUAUCGCAUGAUAUAGCAAUUAAAGGAGCAAUUCGCUAUAAGAUGGACCCGCGUCGCAUUAGCUAGUUGGUGAGGUAAUGGCUCACCAAGGCGACGAUGCGUAGCCGACCUGAGAGGGUGAUCGGCCACAUUGGGACUGUGACACGGCCCAGACUCCUACGGGAGGCAGCAUG
rnacentral:rRNA from 1 species